CCGGUCUGAAAAUGAGCCGGCCCGUUACCGUGGCGCCGGCUCAGAUAACCGGGCCCAGAGCAAACAGCGGGGCGUUAAGCUUAUGGCCCGACUCUCUGUGACGGCACCGUAAAACCCACGCCCCCACAUCA